CUCCUGUCGCCUCUGUAGACCCAUAGAAAAGAAAAGUGCAGUGAUCAAAACAAGAGAAACAGGAUGGAUUCAAGUUUUCCUCCCCAAGAGAAAUGAGCAUCUCCCUUUCCCUGUAAUGAUGAAGUUCACUAAAAUAUCCAACAAAGACAAUACAAGAUUCUUCUAUCGAGUCACUGAAGGUUGGUUUACCACAUAAAACAUCAAGAGUUCAUCUGAUGCCAUGAUCCUUGGUUUCCUGCUGUGUGGCCAGCCUGGAUUUCCAACAGUCUAACUUGGGAUCACAGCCAAGCAGCUUCUUCCAAGCUGUUCCCGCUAAUAAGGAACUAUAUUAUAACCAUCAUUGCUGCAUAAGGGUUUACAUUUUCAAGCUUUUCCAGAACACUGUAAAAAUUAAAACUGAGAUUCUCAACACAAUGAUUCCAAGAAAUGGAGCUUUAAGAAAAAAAAAACACACCAAGUAUUGCAAGAGAUGCAAUAAAAGCCGUGAGAGAUGGCAAGCAACAUCGGAAGCUGGAAAAUUCAUGACUUUUCUGAAUAUUCUUGUUUCAUUUAGAAAACUGAGAAAGCGCAACUGUUUUGUUGCUGCCAGAGGACUUUGAGAUUGCUUAUAACAGUAAUCUGGCACAGAAAUACUAAAUGCACAUUAUAAAUUAUGUGAAGCAUACAUUUUAUAAAUUGGUCUUAUAAGGCAAUGCCAGUUUUCUGGCUGUGUUUGUAAAUUAGUUGGACAUACUAGUUUAGGAGCUGUUGUCCUGAGUUUUCAUUCUAUUACCGAAAAAUAUAAGAAAUUAAGAAAACAUUGUUUGCCAAUUAAUGGAGAAACUAAGGUAUAUCACAAGGGGGGACAGGGAACAUGCCUUUUUAAUCUAAUAGGCCAUGUAAGUUUAUGGUGUCAUUGAAUUGAAAAAUCUUUUGCAUUUAAGCUGCUAAAACAAGUUUAUUUAAAUCUCUGAAGAAUGGAGGGGAGAAGGUUUCUAUGAUUAGGUUUUAAAAAUGAAAAGUGAAAAUGAAAAUCUCAUCCAACUGCUUAGUAAGAUUUUAGGACUAUAUAUUUACAUAGAAAUAUCAAACACGGAGUUUCAUAUUAGAUCACAGCUGCAAACAAUUCAAAGCCACCGACAGAACACAACAUUUAAAAGGAGAGAAGCGGGGGCGAGAGAGAGGGGGAAUAAGAACAGAUUUAGAAAUAUUCAAAAUGCAUGCUUACAGUACUGUAUCACACUUUGAUUCAGAACACCCCAGAAAUGGUAAAGACAACAUCCAAUGCAUAUCGGAUCAUUAUUAAUACAGAAAAACAAAAAUACCAAGACGGGAAGAGGUAUUGAAGAGAAAGAAACA